rnacentral:rRNA from 1 species
AUGAGCUUCUAUAGCCUCCAUGAGACCCUCCAUCAGGAGAUCGCCAAGUACCAAUCCAGAUUCUUCUGGGCUGGCGAGGGGGAUAAGCAGAAGUACCAUAUGGUUAGCUGGCCGGAUAUCUGCAAACCCAAGGACCAGGGAGGUCUAGAGAUCAUGUCCUCCCGCCGCAUGAACAUAGCCCUCCUGACCCGCUGGCUCUAGCGCAUUGCCAAUGGCGACGGAGGUCUCUGGCUCACCAUCAUCCGGAACAAAUAUCUUCGUGGACAGCCCCUUGCCUUCUGUCAGCGCUCGGGCGGCUCCCAGUUCUGGCAGGCCGUCGUCCAGCUGCUUCCAGUGCUUCGUAUUGGCACCUCCAUAGCGGUUGGUACAGGAUCUUCGACACUGUUCUGGCUGGACCGAUGGCUUGGGGACUCCCCCUUGGCCGCGCGAUUCCCUGCGCUCUUCUCAAUUGCAGUUGACCCUCGUAUCUCUGUCGAGGCGGCCCUUAUUGACUUAGGGCGCCUCGCCUUCCGACGCCCCUUCGGGCCUCCAGAAGUGGCUGCCUGGGACACCCUUAUGCAGGACAUUGCCCUCCUCCCUAUGGAUGGCGUUGGCUCCCCGGAUAUAACGUCUUGGCGGCUCGAGCCUUCGGGAUGCUUUUCCACCAAAUCACUCUACGCGGCCAUCGCCCCCUCGACGGCACCCGAACCCUUCAGUUUGAUCUAG